ensembl:lncRNA
ACUUGCCCUGUAUUUUAUCUUGCACUUAAAAAAAAAAAAAAAAGAAGAAGAAAGCAGCGACUAACUACCAACUAUUUAAAUCUCAAAAUAAGAUAACAACAUAUUCAUCAUGAGAUCUGAGCCACCAAUGCCUUCCUCUAAACAAAAGCUCUUACAGUAAAAAUGCACUGGCAAGAAUGGCCCUCUCAAAUCUCAUAAAGCCCAUGUUGUUGCAAGAGCUAAGAAAACCUAGCUCUUUAAAUAGAGUAAUUCUGGGCUAAGAACAUUAAUGGCAUCCCAGAACUGGAAAGCUGGAUGUGUAAAUUAAAAAGCAAAAAGCACAUAUACACUCUUAAUAUCCUAAUACCUAUUACAUGUGAUCUCUUUCAAAGUAGCUUUAAAUGAGAAGUGCAAUUACUCUUUGAUAUAGCUGCUAGAAACAUAGCCAGGAUGCCCUUUGUUAUAAAUUUUAAAAAUGAGUCCGUAUUUCAUAAAGGCUUAUAGUAAGUGAGUCUUCAAAACCAGAACAUAUUAUUCCCUUUUUGGUUUUUUUCGCCAUUUGAAAUAAAAAUCUGCACCAAAUACAGAGUAGUUCCCUUCACUUGGCAGAAUCCCUUUCAGCCACCAUGACAGGAAUGAUCAUAAGUGCAAUGAGAAAUCCCCUCCACACCACACCUAAGUUCUCUCAAGGCAACGAGGAACUGGCAUCAUCAUCAUCUGGAGGCCACAGUAGGUGACUCAGCCGGAUAAGCAGCUGGACACAGGCCAUGGAGUGUGAGUCGCAGUGUCUGCAAUCCCAACCUGGACCCAAAUCCAAAGGUAAUAUGCCAGAUAUCUGGACAUUGUGCUUGUAAAAGGGACUGCACCACCAAAGGGACUGUCUGCCUGAUCAACACGAGUGAGGGAGGACGCUGGGUUUUCCCCCACAAAAAUCCUGAGCUGUUACUUACAGCUUUCCUUUUAGUGUUCAUCAGAAGAGUCUCUUUAAACACAACAAUGCAUUUAUUCUCACAUAGUCAAAAAAUGCUUUAGAAGGAUUAUCCUUGUUUUAGAGGCACAGAACAGGUCCAUAUUUGCAAACACAUCCAUACAACCUGAGGCAGCCCGGGGCUGGCUCCCCAGUGAUGCUGUGCAGCAGCGGGAUGUGCAGGGCACCAGCGAUAACUCUGCAGAGCCAGAGCUAAUCACCACAUCCCUGCUCUGGCCCUGCUCACCCCAUGUCCUGAAGGAGGAGGAUUUAUUUGCUUCAGAAGGAAUUUGGGAAUUCAGCCUAUAUAUUCAACUUGCACAUAAAUCACAGAUGUUAUCUAAAUGGGGUGUGCUCAGUGAGGGUCCCUUCAACGCUGAGAAUGCAAAAAUACCCAACAAACAAAAAGUCCUCAACUCCCUCUGAAAUGCUAAAACCCACUCAAACGACCAAAAAUCCCCCAACAAAACCUGUCCAAAAUUAAACAACAAAGCAAACAAACAAAAAACAAAAAGCCACGGGAAAAUACAAACUCACGCUAAAAGCAAAAGAGGAAAAAAGAAGAAAAACCUAAAGGCAAAAAUCACCCCUACGAAAGUACCAAAUGGCGCGGUAACCGCUGCCGAGCCGGGCGCCGGGCACGGCGGCGGGCGCGCUCCCGGUGGCCCGGGGAGGGCGGCGGGUCCCGCCGGGGGCGAGAGCGGGGCCACUGUGGGGCAUCCCCAUACCCUGGGCCUUGCCCUCCGCCUCCGGCCGUGCCCCAAGGACUGCGAGUAAAGCGACAGCUUUGUGUCGUCUCCAGUCAAAUCUGACGUUGGAGUUGACGUUUCCUGAGUUUAUCUUUUUGUCGUAAAUCAUUAUGGUUUCCACACACACAUUCCCCCGCCCCGGUCCCGCCGCCCCCACCCCGGCCCUUUUUUGCGUUCAAAAUCCUUCCACCAAAAAAACGAUCCGGGAAAGACUCCAGCCCACGGAAAGGCACGGCGGAGGGGCGGAGGGAGGCUGCUUUUCCCGAGGGACACAGUAAUGAAACAGAGGAGUGGCCGCGCUGCCGGCUCCUCCGGCGGGGUCCCUGCCUGCUCCCGGGCCGCAUCGCCCCGUCCCGUCGGGCGAGCGGUUUGCAAUGCUCAGCCUCUCAGCGAAGGUCUUUUUUUCAGAACGCGACCGUCCCGGGGCAGCUUUGCCCGGCCCGGGUGUCCGGUGCCCGCCGAGCACCAGGAA